UCCCAACAAGUGGACCUUUUGCACACAUUCCUCUGCAGAACUUUGAGAACAACCCACGAUUGGAGGGACCUGAAUUGCUCGGUCUUGCAAGCUACGACACUAACUGCAC